rnacentral:rRNA from 1 species
UACAGAGGUCCCGAGCGUUGUUCGGAUUCACUGGGCGUAAAGGGCGUGUAGGUGGUUUCGUAAGUCUGGCGUGAAAUUUUUUCGGCUUAACCGGGAAGGCGUCGGAUACUGCGGGACUAGAGGACGGUAGAGGCGUGUGGAAUUCCGGGUGUAGUGGUGAAAUGCGUAGAGAUCCGGAGGAACACCAGUGGCGAAGGCGACACGCUGGGCCGUACCUGACACUGAUG